rnacentral:rRNA from 1 species
GACGAACGCUGGCGGCGUGCUUAACACAUGCAAGUCGAACGGAAAGGCCCUGCUUGCCGGGUACUCGAGUGGCGAACGGGUGAGUAACGCGUGGGUGAUCUGCCCUGCACUUCGGGAUAAGCCUGGGAAACUGGGUCUAAUACCGGAUAGGAGCCAUCUUUAGUGUGAUGGUUGGAAAGUUUUUUCGGUGUAGGAUGAGCUCGCGGCCUAUCAGCUUGUUGGUGGGGUAAUGGCCUACCAAGGCGGCGACGGGUAGCCGGCCUGAGAGGGUGGACGGCCACAUUGGGACUGGGAUACGGCCCAGACUCCUACGGGAGGCAGCAGUGGGGGAUAUUGCACAAUGGGCGCAAGCCUGAUGCAGCGACGCCGCGUGGGGGAUGACGGCCUUCGGGUUGGAAACUCCUUUCGCUAGGGACGAAGCUUUUUGUGACGGUACCUAGAUAAGAAGCACCGGCUAACUACGUG